UGAGAAUAGAGUUUGGCAUAUAGAAAAGGAGCAUAGCGACUUAGCAUUAUCACUGUCUUGAAUUUCACAAAGCUUAGUAGCAUCGUCGACUUUUUUUUUCUUUUCUGAAAAACACUUUGAAUCUAUCUUCAGUAUUGUAUUCUUUCUUUAUAUGUUUUUAUUCUCAUUUUAUCCCUCUGAAUCAGACCCUUGUCUAGUUCCUCCUAAUUUCUGUUCUAUUUUCCAAUGUAUGCAGCAAUUUCCUGCUAAUCUAAGCUUAAAAUUGUUUUUUCCGUGCUGUCUGAUCUUAGACAAGUCACUGCCCCUCUCUGGGUCUCAAAUUCCUCCUCUGUCAAAUAAUGGACUUAGAUUAGAUGCUUUCUCAUCAAACAUUUGAUGACAUUGUCACUUAAAUACUCUAAAAGCAUUUAAGACCCUCUCUGAUCUUGUGCACUUCUUCUAUCAAAGAAAUAUUACCCAUAUGCCCAACAUGGAUCCCAUCCUGGUGCUUCACAUGGGCUGGGCAAGCGUUCUACCACUGAGCUACACCCCCAGCCCAGGAAUCCCAUUCUUGGAUGAACCUUCUCUCUGUUCCUCCUUUAGAGCAUUUCUCCAGGCUCUUUCCUCUCACUCAAUGCCUUCUUCACUCUGUUCAGCUCAUUCCCCUCUUAACCAACUGGAGGCCCAGCUCACCUUCAACCUCUUCGUGAACUUAUCCGAAUCCUCCAGCCCUAACUGAUCUUUAUGAAACUCGUCCCAAUCUUCGAGCUCUCAACCCAGACUUUACUCU
rnacentral:lncRNA from 1 species